CGAAAUAGAACUGUAGGCACUCCAUCAUUUAAAAGCUGUGCUAUCUUGGCACGAAAUAGAACUGUAGAGUAAAGGGGAAUGAAAGGAAGAUAACAUGUUGUAUUUGAUUGUACCAAUAAGGAUUGGUGGAUGCAAGAAAAAAGAUAGCUAGCCAGGCAUGAAAAAGUUGUGAUUUGGCAAAACAAACAAGUAAGUUUGGUGAGACUUAUGUCCCACAUCGUUUAGAAACAUAAGCUAUAACAAGUUCAGGUUCUAUAAGAUGUUAACAUGAAAUGUAGUAUAGCUCAUGAUCCUUCAGGCAGAACGGGGAAAUGAGGAGUGGUUGGAUCUCACCAAUUUUGUGAGUUGAGUGUUCCGCCCACAGCCUGGUUACGACAAUUGGGCACUCUCCCAAUUCCAAUCUGAUCCC
rnacentral:lncRNA from 1 species